rnacentral:rRNA from 1 species
AGAAUCAACGCUGGCGGCGUGCCUAACACAUGCAAGUCGAACGAGAAAGUGGAGCAAUCCAUGAGUAAAGUGGCGACCGGGUGAGUAACACGUGACUAACCUACCUUCGAGUGGGGGAUAACCUCGGGAAACCGGGGCUAAUACCGCAUAACAUCUUUGAAGUGGAAAUUUCGGAGAUCAAAGGGGCAAUUCGCUUGAAGAGGGGGUCGCGGCUGAUUAGCUAGUUGGCGGGGUAACGCCCACCAAGGCUUAGAUCGGUA